rnacentral:lncRNA from 1 species
AGUCACUCUGUUCAGGAGAUAAAAAAUGACCUAGGUAGCCUCAUUCCCAGGAAUAUCCCUUCUGAUCUGCCUUCACUAGUGUGAAGAGUGUUUUGGGCUACUUUUCAGACCUGUGGAAUUGUUCAGGGGAAUUUCCUCAGCUUUCCUUCGAGAUCUGUUUCACCUUCAGAAUAGUGAGGGCAGAAGACUUUGGGCCUCCUUCCCAAAGGCAUAUGGAUGGCAAAGCUCCAUACAGACCAGGAUCCCAUGCUGUCUCCACCAAGUUAUUAUGAUAUUCUACAAGAACAAGACUCGGGGCUCUCUGGCUUGGACUGCCCAUUUUUGGGUAGGCCCAGAAACCUGCAAGACAUGCAAUACCAUCAGAUGAAUGAGAGCCAAGAAGUACCCUCUUUCAAGCGUCGAGGUGGCGUGGUGGACCAUCGGGACAUCAUCUUGGCUCACCAGGCCCACAAAAUCCACAGUACCCCCCAAGCUAAGCGGAAAGAAUGGGACUCACCUCUUACUCACUAGCCUUCUUGUGAGAAUUCCUCACAAAACUGAUUUCAAACUUCCUACCUAGAAAUGAUGAUCACCUAAGUAUCUGAUGACUUCUCCAUGCUAAGGAACUCCACAAGGGGUUCUGUGGAAUAUAGUCCCUGAAAAAGAACACAUCCCUUUUACAUUCAAGGAAGCUAUGGACUAAUUUCAUGACCCAGAUGCCACAGAGGAAGAUGGAGGGAAGAGUCCCUGAGGAGUUCCAAGACUCCAGGGGAGAUGCUGAUUAAGUGGGAGGCGGGAGCUAGGGAGAAAGAAAACAUGGGAGUUCUCACCCUAACUCUGACAAGAGCAGAAAAUGGAGCAGUGAAACUGCCAAAGCUUCCUAAGAACCAUAAGAUCACAGAUUGAGAGCUGGAAGGGAGCCCCCUAGUUUUUUAGAUGAGGAAACUGAGGCUGAGAGAGAUUAAGUGACUUGUGUGAUAUUAUUCAGUUAGUAAAUAUUUGAGGCAGGAUUUGAAGGCAGGUUUUCCUGACUCUAAGCCUAUUGCUUUAUUCAUUGUACCACUUAGCUGCCUCUAGGAGACUUUUGGUGGAGAAGACAGAGCUGAGAAACUCAAAUGAAGGAACAGAAAGUCUUCAAGAGCCAGCUGGUACUGUGGCCAUGGGUAUUAAAGAAUUAUUCAAAUUUGGGCCUUUUAUCCUUGGUUAAAAUGCUUGGAAAUUGGCACCAUCUCCUUAGAAGGAGUAAGAGCCCCUAGAACUCCUAGAGAGCAUUAGUGGAAAGAGAGUCUACUAUGGUAACUGAAGGGAGCCAGAGCUCUAGAGGAAUGGAGUGCCCAUAGCUGGUGUGUCAGCAAGCCAAGGCAGUGCCAUCCAGAGAGCAAGAUGGGCAAAAAUCUCUGGGGAGUCAGAUCAGUGGAGAAUGAAGCAGCAACCAGAGGAGUAGAGGAAGGGAGGAGGCAUCAUUCAAAGACCAAUAAGACACAAGCCCCCAGUGUGGAAGAACAAACCAGGGCCUCAUCCAGGACAGCAC